AAUGUUAUAGAAUUUGUACAAUUAGAACUGAUCCAUUUUGGUACUGACCAUUUUCCAUCUGAAAUAUUAACAUACCUAGCUGUCGACUGAAACUUUUCUAUAUCAAGCUUCAGGGCUUGUUAUUGAAGCUCCUACAAGUUUGGGCUACUUACAGUAAAUGCAACUUUAAUUGUAAUCCCUGAAAUGUAUACUUUCUCCCUCUCUAUGAUCACUGUGGAAGGAACUUUGGUUCUGAUGUUUUAUACCUCAUGUACUUAAUAGUCUUAUUGCUUUGUAAAGUUCCACACCGACAUCCGCUGCAGCAAUUGCAAGGAAUUGUUUGCAAGUCUGAAAAAGAAUUCCACCUCUUUGUGAGGGGAUUCCCGAAAUGGAUACAGCUGCUAGAACAUCUACGAGUGACUGGAUACCAAACCGAUCACCUGCACCUCAUUACAAGAAAAGAAGUGUGUUGUAUCUGCAAAAUAUCUGUUCACAUGAAUUUCUCAAAAUACCUUUCUCAUGAAUUAUGCAUUUAUUUAAUAAAAAUCAAUUUGUGAA